rnacentral:rRNA from 1 species
AUGUCAGCAAUUCCAAGGGCUGAAGCUCAAACGAUAGCUUUUCGGGAUGCAUUGGAAAUCUGUGGCUUGGUGGAUCUUGGGUUCGUAGGCGUGCCUUUCACCUAUGAUAACAAACGUAGUGGUGCAAGUAAUGUGCGUAUUCACCUUGAUAGAGCUGUAGCUACCAAUGCCUGGAGGAACAUGUUUGCAUUCUCUUCUGUUUUACAUGUGCCAUCACCAUGUUCUGAUCAUGUGGUAGUUGUACUCAAGAGAUCGUCGGAUCCGAGGCUAACGGGAGCAAAUUCUAGAAGGUAUGAGCUAUUUUGGGAUAGGGAUGACACGCUCCCAGAGGUGAUAAAAAAUGCUUGGAUGGCUGUAGGAAGGGUGCAAUACCUUGGACAGUUGCGAGAUGCUUUGACAAAGACUAUGUUGUCACUCGGCUCGUGGAGCAAAAAAAUUGGAAAUGUCACUAGGGAGCUCGCCAAAUCUAGGUCCCAGCUGGAAGAACUCAUGCAUAUGAAUGCGGACCAACAGGACAUCCGUAGGGUGACAGGUAAAAUGAACGAGUUAUUAUAUCAAGAGGCAAUGUUAUGGCUUCAGAGAUCUAGAAUUUCUUGGUUGAUGGUUGAAGGAGGGGGACAGAAACACCAAUUUUUUCAGAAUAAGGCAGUAUGGAGAGGUACGAAGAAUAAAAUCCACCAACUUACAGAAAGUGUUGGGGUGGUGCACUCGGAGUUUUCUGCAAUGGGUAAGCUUGCAAAUGACUAUUUUCAUGAUAUCUUUGCUACAGACCUGACACUUGAUGCUUCACCAGUCCCUGAUCUUUUGGAGUCUAUGGUGACGGAUGAAGAUAAUGUCAAGUUAUGUGCCCCGUUCUCGGACAAGGAGAUUUCUGAUGCGUUGUUUCAGAUGGGACCGCUCAAGGCCCCAGGACCGGAUGGUUUUCCUGCCAGGUUUUUCAGCGAAAUUGAAGUACUAUCAAAGAGGAUGUGCUUGCCGCGGUUAAGGAUUUCUUUGUGA